rnacentral:misc_RNA from 1 species
GUGAACUUUAGAGUAUCUCCUUAACGAGAGCUCGACCUCCACUAUCUCACUCUGUGCACUCUUGAAGCUCUUUUGGACUCUUUACAAAGUUCUGAGGGGCUUCACCAUUUACAAACAUACACAAGUCAAAGAAUGUCACAAAAAAAAUAACAAAUAA